AUGAGUUUAUUUUCAGUGGUCCAUUGGAGCAGACGCAUGGUGUGAUUCGUUUUCAUUUUAAUCAUGUUUAAAAGUGCAAUUUUAUUCUAAUUGUGUCAAAUUUAACUACUAAAAGUUGAGUGCACGCCCGCACUAGUCAAAAUAAAUAUAUGGAAGGAGUUAAAAUAGCUAAAUUAAGCCCAACCUUGGAAAUAUUUAGCUUUACCGAUAUGCAUCUCAGUUGGCCAGUUGCAUCAACUACUAGAGCCAACAUCAAAGGGAUAUGGUGAACAGUGGAAGCGUUAACGCCGCCGCAAAGGAUAGCAGAAAGAUGCGCUGACCGGAGCUGCUCAAGGCGCUGGCCUGGCACAGCAGAUCCUCGGGAAAAAUCUCCAGUAUGGGCAAAUGGCGCCCCGAUGUGGUAUCGUGGCAGGUGUUGGCACGCGCACGCUGUUAAAAGAGGCACUUUAACUGUGGCAACCCUCGUGCAUUGCUUUGUAUUUAGUACAUUCACAUGCAUUUACAACUGAACCUCAACAUGCAAGAAACACGCAACGUAAGAAGCAGAGAAAUCAACACAUGCCACACACACACACACACCAAUAUACCAACACAAGCACGCACCACCACAUGCCGUGUGUAAAUAAUUAAUUACCGCAUACAGAAAAUUGUUCAUAGAUUAACAAAUUAAGGACUGCAAUCUUUUCUAAGGACCUCCGCGAGCCUAUUAGGACACUUUUUUCCAGGAUAGGAGUUAAAUUCAUCCAGAUAUAGCAAUUUUAAGUUAAAAUAAUAGAAAAUAUAUAGUAAAAUUAC